rnacentral:tRNA from 3 species
GGGCGCGUAGCUCAGGCGGUAGAGCAACGGCCUUUUAAGCCGUGGGUCGCAGGUUCGAAUCCUGCCGCGCUCA